UGAGUUGGAGCAGACCCAUGAGAUCUUCCGCCAGUACCAAGACCCAUGCCGAGUGGGGCCCAGGCAGGACCAGCCCUGGGCCAUAGGCACCCUGCUGAACUACCUGGAGAUCCACGAGGAGGCCGUGUCGACCCCAGAGAAGCUGAAAAGGACCCUGGAGCAAGAGGAAGGCAGGCGGACGUACCUGGCGGGUCCCAUCCUGCGGGACGGCCGCCCCGACCCCUCGGCAGCAGGGAGCCCCUGGGAAGGGCGCCGCAUCGACUACAUCCUGUACCGCGAGCACCCCGCCCCCAUC